AAUGCACUAAUUUGUAAGUCACUCUGGAUAAGAGCGUCUGCUAAAUGACUUAAA
rfam:Salmo salar isolate Sally breed double haploid chromosome ssa14, whole genome shotgun sequence.